UACGUAGGGGGCAAGCGUUGUCCGGAUUUACUGGGUGUAAAGGGCGCGUAGGUGGGUUUGUAAGUCAGAGGUGAAAUCCUGCAGCUUAACUGUAGAACUGCCUCUGAUACUGCAAAUCUUGAGUUCAGAAGAGAGAAGCGGAAUUCCAGGUGUAGUAGUGAAAUACGUAGAUAUCUGGAAGAACACCAGUGGCGAAGGCGGCUUCUUGGUCUGUAACUGACACUGAGGCGCGAAAGCGUGGGGAGCUAACAGG
rnacentral:rRNA from 1 species